GCCACGUGGAUAAACAAAAAGAUCAAACGUCUGGCGCACAAUAAAACCGUAGGUAAAAAGCACCGAAUCCAAUCUCCACCUUUAUAAAAACCCUAUUUUCUCUCUCCUCUCUUAACUGCUUUCCAGAGACUUCUAUAUUUCACGCUUUUGUCAAAUUCUAAUCUUGGUGAAGGGUUGAAGAAAAACAUGACGAGACGAAUUUACCGUACUAUUUACGUUGGUAAUCUCCCCGGUGAUAUUCGCGAGAAAGAAGUCGAGGAUAUCUUUUACAAGUAUGGCCCAAUCGUCGACAUUGAUCUGAAGAUUCCACCACGGCCUCCUGGUUAUGCAUUUGUUGAGUUUGAAGAUGAACGAGAUGCUGAAGAUGCUGUGUAUGGUCGGAAUGGUUAUGAUUUUGAUGGGCAUCGUUUGCGGGUGGAAUUUGCUCAUGGUGGUCGAGGAUCCCUAUCAUCUGACCGUCACAGCAGUUAUGGAGGCAGCAGUUAUAGAGGUGGAGCACCCAAGCACACUGACUAUAGAGUCAUGGUCACUGGACUGCCAUCAUCUGCUUCUUGGCAAGACCUUAAGGAUCACAUGCGACGAGCCGGGGAUGUUUGUUUUUCAGAUGUAUUCAAGGAUCGUCGUUAUGGUGGCAUGACUGGAGUUGUUGAAUAUGCAAGUUAUGAUGAUAUGAAGCGUGCUGUCAGGAAGCUGGAUGAUUCUGAGUUUCGUAAUGCAUUCUCUCGUGCUUAUAUUCGAGUGAAAGAGUACUCUAGGAGUCUGAGUCCAGAUGAUAGGUCGAGAAGUAGAAGCUACAGCCGUGGCCGUAGUUAUAGCCGAAGCAGAAGCCGAAGCCGCAGCUACAGCAUUUCUCCAAGAAGACGAAGUUCACGACGUUCUUAUUCCAGAUCUCUUUCAAGGUCUCCCUCGAGAUCCCCUUCUCAUUCUCGUUCUAGUUGGAGCGAUGGACUGUGGUGAGUAAAAAGGAGAUUUGGAUACAUGCAGCUUGUCUUCUUUGUUUCGUAGAUCCAGCUCUUUGCGGCAGUCUGGGGAUUGGACAUAGGGGCUUGGAUCUAUUUGCACAUCAAACCUUGCUCAUUUCCAUCCAGGCUGGCGUCGUUUUAUAUUUGUUGGAUGUGUUCACUAUUGGGAAUUAUGAUUGUUGGAUAAAUUAUAAAGGUAUUAUGCUUGGUGGAGGUUGUGGAUGUGAGCUGGCGGAAUCUUUGGUUCUAUAAGAAAGAACGGGAUUCUCAUGAGUGUUCUAGUGUCUUGGAACACAGAGCAUUUGUAGCCCAAUUGCAUAAGCAUGAGAGUUGGUAGGACUCGUGGUAAAGGAUAUUGGUAGAUACAAUGUUCUAUGCAAUUUAAGUGCGAAAUAUGGUUUUGGGCCUUCUUUGCUACUCUCAUUGGUGAACAUGAUAUUCCACACCGGUCUGACUGGAUGGUAAGGUUGGAAUUUCUUGCUGUAGUCCAAAAUGGCUCUCUGACUGGAUUGUAAGGUUGGAAUUUCUUGCUCUAGUCCAAAAUGGUUCUCUUUCCACUUCCCCUUACUGGUGUAAAUUUUUCUGUAUAGUUUUGAGUAACGGCAAACCAAGGUCCAAAAUCACCCUGUUGAAUUCUUGUUAAAAUCAUGACUAAUUGCUGAAGCUGUCAAAUUUAUGACAAAUUGCUGAAGCUGUCAAAUUCAUUUAGACUGACAUUUUACCAAUUCUCACUUUGCAGAUCUUUAUCAAGGUCCAAAUCUCCAGUUCGUCGUUCUGUUAGCAGAAGUGUCAGUCGAUCACGUUCACCAGCUGCAAGAUCUGAUAGGAGUCGUUCUGUUGAGUCUGAGGAGCGUUGCUGAAUCGAGAAGAGUGUAACGUUAAAGAGCUGUGCUGUAGCAUAUACUUGGGAGUAGAAUUGUUAGAUUAAGCUGAUAAUGUACACUCUUACUGUCUUACUAUAUUGGGACUAGGGUGCGAGAAGUUUACUCAUUAGAUCAGAUUUAGUGAAUUUCUCAUCAGGGUACCUGAACUUGCUGUUGCAGAUUUUUAGUUUUCUAUUAAGCAAUUGACUAAUUUGGUUGACUUUAGUUGGUCAAUAAAUGAUCUAAUAAUCGUGGUUGUAAGAUUCUUAUGUGCACUGUUGCUUUUAUAAAUGUUUGGUAAAAGCUUAAGCUAGUCAA